rnacentral:rRNA from 1 species
GAUGAACGCUGGCGGCAUGCCUUACACAUGCAAGUCGAACGGUAACGGGCCUUCGGGUGCCGACGAGUGGCGAACGGGUGAGUAAUGUAUCGGAACGUACCUUUCAGUGGGGGAUAACGUAGCGAAAGUUACGCUAAUACCGCAUAUUCUGUGAGCAGGAAAGCAGGGGAUCGCAAGACCUUGCGCUGAUUGAGCGGCCGAUAACAGAUUAGCUAGUUGGUGAGGUAAAGGCUCACCAAGGCGACGAUCUGUAGCGGGUCUGAGGGGAUGAUCCGCCACACUGGAGCUGAGACACGGUCCAGACUCCUACGGGAGGCAGCAGUGGGGAAUUUUGGACAAUGGGGGCAACCCUGAUCCAGCCAUGCCGCGUGAGUGAAGAAGGCCUUCGGGUUGUAAAGCUCUUUCGGCCGGGAAGAAAUCGCACGGGCUAAUACCCUGUGUGGAUGACGGUACCGGAAUAAGAAGCACCGGCUGACUACGUGCCAGCAGCCGCGGUAACAC